rnacentral:rRNA from 1 species
GAACGCUGGCGGCGUGCUUAACACAUGCAAGUCGAACGAUGAUCAGGAGCUUGCUCCUGUGAUUAGUGGCGAACGGGUGAGUAACACGUGAGUAACCUGCCCCUGACUCUGGGAUAAGCGUUGGAAACGACGUCUAAUACUGGAUACGACUGCCGGCCGCAUGGUCUGGUGGUGGAAAGAUUUUUUGGUUGGGGAUGGACUCGCGGCCUAUCAGCUUGUUGGUGAGGUAAUGGCUCACCAAGGCGACGACGGGUAGCCGGCCUGAGAGGGUGACCGGCCACACUGGGACUGAGACACGGCCCAGACUCCUACGGGAGGCAGCAGUGGGGAAUAUUGCACAAUGGGCGAAAGCCUGAUGCAGCAACGCCGCGUGAGGGAUGACGGCCUUCGGGUUGUAAACCUCUUUUAGUAGGGAAGAAGCGAAAGUGACGGUACCUGCAGAAAAAGCACCGGCUAACUACGUGCCAGCAGCCGCGGUAAUACGUAGGGUGCAAGCGUUGUCCGGAAUUAUUGGGCGUAAAGAGCUCGUAGGCGGUUUGUCGCGUCUGCUGUGAAAUCCCGAGGCUCAACCUCGGGCUUGCAGUGGGUACGGGCAGACUAGAGUGCGGUAGGGGAGAUUGGAAUUCCUGGUGUAGCGGUGGAAUGCGCAGAUAUCAGGAGGAACACCGAUGGCGAAGGCAGAUCUCUGGGCCGUAACUGACGCUGAGGAGCGAAAGCGUGGGGAGCGAACAGGAUUAGAUACCCUGGUAGUCCACGCCGUAAACGUUGGGCGCUAGAUGUAGGGACCUUUCCACGGUUUCUGUGUCGUA